UACGGAGGGGACUAGCGUUGUUCGGAAUUACUGGGCGUAAAGCGCACGUAGGCGGAUUUGUUAGUCAGGGGUGAAAUCCCGAGGCUCAACCUCGGAACUGCCUUUGAUACUGCAAAUCUCGAGUCCGGAAGAGGUGAGUGGAAUUCAUAGUGUAGAGGUGAAAUUCGUAGAUAUUAGGAAGAACACCAGUGGCGAAGGCGGACUCACUGGUCCGGUACUGACGCUGAGGUGCGAAAGCGUGGGGAGCAAACAGG
rnacentral:rRNA from 1 species